rnacentral:rRNA from 1 species
UACGUAGGGUGCGAGCGUUAAUCGGAAUUACUGGGCGUAAAGCGUGCGCAGGCGGUUCGUUGUGUCCGAUGUGAAAGCCCCGGGCUUAACCUGGGAAUGGCAUUGGAAACUGGCGGGCUUGAGUGCGGCAGAGGGGGGUGGAAUUCCGCGUGUAGCAGUGAAAUGCGUAGAGAUGCGGAGGAACACCGAUGGCGAAGGCAGGUCUCUGGGCUGACACUGACGCUCAUGCACGAAAGCGUGGGGAGCAAACAGG